rnacentral:miRNA from 1 species
UGAACAUGUACAUGCUGGCCAACC